AGGGUUUGAUCAUGGCUCAGAGUGAACGUUGGCGGCGUGGAUUAGGCAUGCAAGUCGAACGCGAAAAUUCCUUCGGGAAUUAGUAGCGUGGCGAAAGGGGCAGUAAGGCAUAGGUAACCUACCCUUCGGACCGGGAUAUACGGUGGAAACGCCGGGCAAUACUGGACAUCGUCCCUGGAUGGCAUCAUCCGGUGAUGAAAUGGUCAGCCGCCGAAGGAGGGGCUUAUGUGCUACCAGCCAGUUGGUGAGGUAAUGGCUCACCAAGGCUACGACGGCUAGGGGGUGUGAGAGCACGAUCCCCGCCACUGGGACUGAGAACUGCCCAGACUCCUACGGGAGGCUGCAGUCGAGAAUCUUCGGCAAUGGGGGCAACCCUGACCGAGCGACGCCGCGUGGUGGAUGAAGGCCUUCGGGUUGUAAACACCUGUUGGGGGGGAACAAUUUUGAGUGAACCCCUGAGGAAGCACGGGCUAAGUUCGUGCCAGCAGCCGCGGUAAGACGAACCGUGCAAACGUUACUCGGAAUCACUGGGCUUAAAGCGUACGUAGGCGGCGUCAUUAGUCAGAGGUGAAAUCCCAUCGGCUCAACCGUGGAAUUGCCUCUGAUACUGUGAUGCUUGAGGGGGAACGGGGCAUUCGGAACUUCCGGUGGAGCGGUGAAAUGUGUUGAUAUCGGAAGGAACGCCGGUGGCGAAAGCGGAAUGCUGGGUCUCUUCUGACGCUGAGGUACGAAAGCUAGGGUAGCGAACGGGAUUAGAUACCCCGGUAGUCCUAGCCGUAAACGAUGAGCACUUGGUAGAAAUCGCUCCGAUGGCGACUUCUGCCGUAGCGAAAGUGUUAAGUGCUCCGCCUGGGGAGUAUGGUCGCAAGGCUGAAACUCAAGGAAUUGACGGGGGCUCACACCAGCGGUGGAGCAUGUGGCUUAAUUCGAGGCUACGCGAAGAACCUUAUCCUAGACUUGACAUGCACGGAUUAGGUGGCGGAAACGUCACUGACACUUUCGGGUGACGUGCACAGUGCUGCAUGCUGUCGUCAGCUCGUGUCAUGAG
rnacentral:rRNA from 1 species